GCGAGCCGCGGGGCAGUACGAAACCCGUAAGGCGAAAUGAAGGUGAACGCCGGCGCGGUCCGGCGGAGGUUGGAUCCCGUCCCGUCGGGGCGGGCGCACUACCGGCCGAUCUUCUCCGCCCUGUCGGCGAGGUCGAGCGAGAGCGUGCAAGUCGGGACCCGAAAGAUGGUGAACUAUGCCUGAGGAGGUUGAAGCCAGAGGAAACUCUGGUGGAGGACCGUAGCGAUUCUGACGUGCAAAUCGAUCGUCAAAUUUGGGUAUAGGGGCGAAAGACUAAUCGAACCGUCUAGUAGCUGGUUCCCUUCGAAGUUUCCCUCAGGAUAGCUGGCGCUCUGUCGCAGUUUUAUCUGAUAAAGCGAAUGAUUAGAGGUCUUGGGGGCGAAACGCCCUCAACCUAUUCUCAAACUUUAAAUUGGUAAGAAGCCCGACUCGCUCGUUUGGAGCCGGGCAUGGAAUGCGAGUGCCAAGUGGGCCACUCUUGGUAAGCAGGACUGGCGAUGCGGGAUGAACCGAACGCCGGGUUAAGGCGCCCGACGCGACGCUCAUCAGAGCCCACAAAAGGUGUUGGUUGAUAUAGACAGCAGGACGGUGGCCAUGGAAGUCGGAAACCGCUAAGGAGUGUGUAACAACUCACCUGCCGAAUCAAUCAGCCCUGAAAAUGGAUGGCGAUGGAGCGUCGGGCCUAUACCCG
rnacentral:ncRNA from 1 species